AUUGGGGUGGARGUCGUAACAAGGUAGCCGGUAGGAGAACCUGCGGCUGGAUCACCUCCUUUCUAGGGAG
rnacentral:rRNA from 1 species